GACGAACGCUGGCGGCGUGCUUAACACAUGCAAGUCGUACGGUAAGGCCCUUUCGGGGGUACACGAGUGGCGAACGGGUGAGUAACACGUGAGUAACCUGCCCACAACUUUGGGAUAACGCUAGGAAACUGGAGCUAAUACUGGAUAUGUGCUCCUGCUGCAUGGUGGGGUUGGAAAGCUCCGGCGGUUGUGGAUGGACUCGCGGCCUAUCAGCUUGUUGGUGGGGUAGUGGCCUACCAAGGCGGCGACGGGUAGCCGGCCUGAGAGGGUGACCGGCCACAUUGGGACUGAGAUACGGCCCAGACUCCUACGGGAGGCAGCAGUGGGGAAUAUUGCACAAUGGGCGCAAGCCUGAUGCAGCAACGCCGCGUGCGGGAUGACGGCCUUCGGGUUGUAAACCGCUUUCAGCAGGGACGAAGCUUUUUGUGACGGUACCUGCAGAAGAAGCACCGGCUAACUACGUG
rnacentral:rRNA from 1 species